UACGUAGGGGGCAAGCGUUGUCCGGAAUCAUUGGGCGUAAAGAGCGCGUAGGCGGCCCAGUAAGUCCGCUCUGAAAGUCAGGGGCUCAACCCCUGGAUGCGGGUGGAUACUGCCGGGCUAGAGUCCGGAAGAGGUGAGUGGAAUUCCUGGUGUAGCGGUGAAAUGCGCAGAUAUCAGGAGGAACACCUAUUGCGAAGGCAGCUCGCUGGGACGUAACUGACGCUGAGACGCGAAAGCGUGGGGAGCAAACAGG
rnacentral:rRNA from 1 species